CCCCAACAAGCACAACCGUCUUUACAUGGAGGCCAGGCCUAUGGAGGAAGGACUUGCUGAAGCUAUCGAUGAUGGUCGUAUUGGUCCCAGGGAUGAUCCAAAGGCACGCGCAAAGAUUUUAUCGGAGGAAUUUGGUUGGGAUAAGGACCUUGCAAAGAAGAUAUGGUGUUUUGGUCCUGAGACUACUGGACCAAACAUGGUGGUUGAUAUGUGUAAAGGAGUGCAGUACCUGAAUGAAAUUAAGGACUCUGUUGUUGCUGGGUUCCAAUGGGCAUCAAAGGAAGGAGCACUGGCUGAAGAAAACAUGAGAGGUAUCUGCUUUGAAGUCUGUGAUGUGGUGCUCCACACUGAUGCUAUUCAUAGAGGUGGUGGUCAGAUUAUUCCAACUGCUAGGAGGGUUAUCUACGCAUCACAGCUUACAGCCAAGCCAAGGCUUCUGGAACCUGUUUACUUGGUGGAGAUCCAAGCCCCAGAGCAGGCACUUGGAGGUAUCUACAGUGUUCUUAACCAGAAACGUGGGCAUGUCUUUGAGGAGUUACAGAGGCCUGGUAC
rnacentral:lncRNA from 1 species